UAGCGGGACUGAGAGGUUGACCCGCCACAUCGGAACUGAGACACUGUCCGGACCUCCACGGAGGGCUGCAGUAACGAAUAUUGGGCAAUGGGCGAAAGCCUGACCCAGCAAUGCCGCGUGUAGGAUGAAGCUUUUCGGAGUGUAAACUACUUUCGGGAUUAGAAAGCUACGGUUGAUCAAUCCCAGAAGAAGUCACGGCUAACUUCGUGCCAGCAGCCGCGGUAAUACGAAGGAGGCAAGCGUUAUUCGAAAUCACUGGGCUUAAAGGGCGCGUAGGCGGAUAUGAAAGUGUUAGGUGAAAUCCCCCGGCUUAACCGGGGAAUUGCCUGACAAACUUCAUAUCUUGAGUCAAGUAGGGGUGUGUGGAACUCUUGGUGGAGCGGUGGAAUGCGUAGAUAUCAAGAGGAACGCCGAAGGUGAAGACAGCACACUGGGCUUGAACUGACGCUGAGGCGCGAAAGCGUGGGGAGCGAACAGGAUUAGAUACCCUGGUAGUCCACGCCGUAAACGAUGUAUACUAGGUCGCGGAGGUUCUGACACCGUCGCGGUCGUAGCAAAAGUGUUAAGUAUACCGCCUGGGGAGUACGGUCGCAAGGCUAAAACUCAAAGGAAUUGACGGGGGCUCACACAAGCGGUGGAGCAUGUGGAUUAAUUCGAAGCAACGCGCAGAACCUUACCUGGGUUUGACAUGUAUGGAUGCCUAUCUGGAAACAGAGUCGGCUGCCCUCGGGUGAAACUUACACAGGUGCUGCAUGGCUGUCGUCAGCUCGUGUCGUGAGAUGUCGGGUUAAGUCCUUUAACGAGCGAAACCCUUACCGUUAGUUGCCAGCGCGUCAUGGCGGGGACUCUAGCGGGACUGCCGGUGUUAAACCGGAGGAAGGCGGGGAUGACGUCAAGUCCUCAUGGCCUUUAUGCCCAGGGCUUCACACGUGCUACAAUGGCAGGUACAGAGCGACGCGAUACCGCGAGGUGGAGCAGAUCGCAAAAAACCUGCCCCAGUUCAGAUUGCAGGCUGACAACUCGCCUGCAUGAAGUUGGAAUCGCUAGUAAUCGCGUAUCAGCGAUGACGCGGUGAAUGUGUUCCUGAGCCUUGUACACACCGCCCGUCAAAUCACGGGAGUUGGGAGUACCCGAAGUCGGAUUGCUAACUUGUAAAAGAAGCGUCUGCCGACGGUAAGCCCGAUGACUGGGAUUAAGUCGUAACAAGGUA
rnacentral:rRNA from 1 species